GGGGCGCCGAGGGGACGGGGCUGGCUCGGAGACGGCCAGCCUCUGGAACCUCCCGCACCGCCGCGGGGAGCCUCCAGCGGGCCGCCGAAAGGCGGGGGUAAAAACCAGCUGGAGGCGCGGCCCCCAAGCAGGGCCUGUGAGGCCCGCGCGAGGCCCGGGUAGGGGGAUAGACACAUACCCCAACAGAAGCGGGGGUACCCGGCGCCCC
rfam:Pyrobaculum sp. 1860, complete genome.